AAAUAAUAUCAAAAAUGAUAAUUUUGUAAUUUUUAAAUGAUAUUAAAUAUUUUGGAAGUUUUGUUUUAGUAACUAAUCGUGUAGUUAAUGUAGAAAGAUUUUGGGAAGAUAGUUAAAUGUCAAAUAUUUAAUUCGAAGAUUUACUUUCUAAUUAUCAAAAACAAUUAUUAAAUGCUAGUGGCAGUCACAGUAAAUAAGUCUCAACUUGAGGAUUUAUUUCACAAAGUGAUUGCAAAAAUGUAUAUGUAGAUGAUCAAUAUGAUUUUAUUUAGA
rnacentral:sRNA from 1 species